UUAAGUUUUGAUCCUGGGCUCCAGGAUGACCGCCUGGCGGCGUGCUUAAUACAUGCAAGUCGAGCGAAUGGAUUAAGAGCUUGCUCUUAUGAAGUUAGCGGCGGACGGGUGAGUAACACGUGGGUAACCUGCCCAUAAGACUGGGAUAACUCCGGGAAACCGGGGCUAAUACCGGAUAACAUUUUGAACCGCAUGGUUCGAAAUUGAAAGGCGGCUUCGGCUGUCACUUAUGGAUGGACCCGCGUCGCAUUAGCUAGUUGGUGAGGUAACGGCUCACCAAGGCAACGAUGCGUAGCCGACCUGAGAGGGUGAUCGGCCACACUGGGACUGAGACACGGCCCAGACUCCUACGGGAGGCAGCAGUAGGGAAUCUUCCGCAAUGGACGAAAGUCUGACGGAGCAACGCCGCGUGAGUGAUGAAGGCUUUCGGGUCGUAAAACUCUGUUGUUAGGGAAGAACAAGUGCUAGUUGAAUAAGCUGGCACCUUGACGGUACCUAACCAGAAAGCCACGGCUAACUACGUGCCAGCAGCCGCGGUAAUACGUAGGUGGCAAGCGUUAUCCGGAAUUAUUGGGCGUAAAGCGCGCGCAGGUGGUUUCUUAAGUCUGAUGUGAAAGCCCACGGCUCAACCGUGGAGGGUCAUUGGAAACUGGGAGACUUGAGUGCAGAAGAGGAAAGUGGAAUUCCAUGUGUAGCGGUGAAAUGCGUAGAGAUAUGGAGGAACACCAGUGGCGAAGGCGACUUUCUGGUCUGUAACUGACACUGAGGCGCGAAAGCGUGGGGAGCAAACAGGAUUAAAUACCCUGG
rnacentral:rRNA from 1 species